rnacentral:rRNA from 1 species
AGAGUUUGAUCCUGGCUCAGGACGAACGCUGGCGGCGUGCUUAACACAUGCAAGUCGAACGGUAAGGCCCUUCGGGGUACACGAGUGGCGAACGGGUGAGUAACACGUGGGUAAUCUGCCCUGCACAUCGGGAUAAGCCUGGGAAACUGGGUCUAAUACCGAAUAGGACCACAGGACACAUGUCCUGUGGUGGAAAGCUUUUGCGGUGUGGGAUGGGCCCGCGGCCUAUCAGCUUGUUGGUGGGGUGAUGGCCUACCAAGGCGACGACGGGUAGCCGGCCUGAGAGGGUGUCCGGCCACACUGGGACUGAGAUACGGCCCAGACUCCUACGGGAGGCAGCAGUGGGGAAUAUUGCACAAUGGGCGAAAGCCUGAUGCAGCGACGCCGCGUGGGUGAUGACGGCCUUCGGGUUGUAAACCUCUUUCACCAUCGACGAAGGUCCGGGUUUUCUCGGGCUGACGGUAGGUGGAGAAGAAGCACCGGCCAACUACGUGCCAGCAGCCGCGGUAAUACGUAGGGUGCGAGCGUUGUCCGGAAUUACUGGGCGUAAAGAGCUCGUAGGUGGUUUGUCGCGUUGUUCGUGAAAUCUCACGGCUUAACUGUGAGCGUGCGGGCGAUACGGGCAGACUUGAGUACUGCAGGGGAGACUGGAAUUCCUGGUGUAGCGGUGGAAUGCGCAGAUAUCAGGAGGAACACCGGUGGCGAAGGCGGGUCUCUGGGCAGUAACUGACGCUGAGGAGCGAAAGCGUGGGGAGCGAACAGGAUUAGAUACCCUGGUAGUCC